rnacentral:rRNA from 1 species
GAUGAACGCUGGCGGCGUGCCUAAUACAUGCAAGUCGAGCGAACGGACGAGAAGCUUGCUUCUCUGAUGUUAGCGGCGGACGGGUGAGUAACACGUGGAUAACCUACCUAUAAGACUGGGAUAACUUCGGGAAACCGGAGCUAAUACCGGAUAAUAUUUUGAACCGCAUGGUUCAAAAGUGAAAGACGGUCUUGCUGUCACUUAUAGAUGGAUCCGCGCUGCAUUAGCUAGUUGGUAAGGUAACGGCUUACCAAGGCAACGAUGCAUAGCCGACCUGAGAGGGUGAUCGGCCACACUGGAACUGAGACACGGUCCAGACUACUAAGGGAGGCAGCAGUAGGGAAUCUUCCGCAAUGGGCGAAAGCCUGACGGAGCAACGCCGCGUGAGUGAUGAAGGUCUUCGGAUCGUAAAACUCUGUUAUUAGGGAAGAACAUAUGUGUAAGUAACUGUGCACAUCUUGACGGUACCUAAUCAGAAAGCCACGGCUAACUACGUG